rnacentral:ncRNA from 14 species
GUGCGUAGCUCAGUUGGUAGAGCACUGCCUUUGCAAGGCAGGGGUCGCAGGUUCGAGACCUGUCGCAUCC